AGAAUCAACGCUGGCGGCGUGCCUAACACAUGCAAGUCGCACGAGAAAGGGGAGCAAUCCCUGAGUACAGUGGCGCACGGGUGAGUAACACGUGAAUGAUCUACCUCCGAGUGGGGAAUAACUGAGAGAAAUCUUAGCUAAUACCGCAUAAUACCCACGGGUCAAAGCAGCAAUGCGCUUGGAGAGGAGUUCGCGGCAGAUUAGUUAGUUGGCGGGGUAAUGGCCCACCAAGACGAUGAUCUGUAUCCGGCCUGAGAGGGCGCACGGACACACUGGAACUGAAACACGGUCCAGACUCCUACGGGAGGCAGCAGUGGGGAAUUUUGCGCAAUGGGGGAAACCCUGACGCAGCAACGCCGCGUGGAGGAUGAAGCCCCUUGGGGUGUAAACUCCUUUCGAUCGGGAAGAUAAUGACGGUACCGAUAUAAGAGCCCGGCUAACUUCGCGCCAGCAGCCGC
rnacentral:rRNA from 1 species